rnacentral:rRNA from 1 species
UGGGGAAUUUUGGACAAUGGGCGCAAGCCUGAUCCAGCCAUGCCGCGUGAGUGAAGAAGGCCUUCGGGUUGUAAAGCUCUUUCGGCGGGGACGAAAUGGUUCGUGCUAAUACCACGGACUGAUGACGGUACCCGCAGAAGAAGCACCGGCUAACUACGUGCCAGCAGCCGCGGUAAUACGUAGGGUGCAGGCGUUAAUCGGAAUUACUGGGCGUAAAGCGUGCGCAGGCGGUUUGUUAAGACAGAUGUGAAAUCCCCGGGCUUAACCUGGGAACUGCGUUUGUAACUGGCAGACUGGAGUGUGGCAGAGGGGGGUGGAAUUCCAAGUGUAGCAGUGAAAUGCGUAGAUAUUUGGAGGAACACCGGUGGCGAAGGCGGCAUCCUGGACCGGUAUUGACGCUGAGGCGCGAAAGCUAGGGGAGCAAA